GACGAACGCUGGCGGCGUGCUUAACACAUGCAAGUCGAACGGAAAGGCCCUGCUUUUGUGGGGUGCUCGAGUGGCGAACGGGUGAGUAACACGUGAGUAACCUGCCCUUGACUUUGGGAUAACUUCAGGAAACUGGGGCUAAUACCGGAUAGGAGCUCCUGCUGCAUGGUGGGGGUUGGAAAGUUUCGGCGGUUGGGGAUGGACUCGCGGCUUAUCAGCUUGUUGGUGGGGUAGUGGCUUACCAAGGCUUUGACGGGUAGCCGGCCUGAGAGGGUGACCGACCACAUUGGGAAUGAGAUACGGCCCAGACUCCUACGGGAGGCAGCAGUGGGGAAUAUUGCACAAUGGGCGGAAGCCUGAUGCAGCAACGCCGCGUGCGGGAUGACGGCCUUCGGGUUGUAAACCGCUUUCGCCUGUGACGAAGCGUGAGUGACGGUAAUGGGUAAAGAAGCACCGGCUAACUACGUG
rnacentral:rRNA from 1 species